rnacentral:lncRNA from 1 species
AGUCCUGUGGAGAGAAUUAUGGUGUCAUAGAGGCUUAGAAUCUUGGCAUUAGCAGGGAAGGGAACCCAUCUGGUUCAGGAGGCUUUGGCUUCUGAUAGUCAUGGACUCACUAGGCUGCUGAGGAAGAUCAAUAAUAUCUACUGGAAUCAGUCAUGAGAAGUCAAGCAUGGAAAUUGUGAAUUGAGAAGGGUGUGGCCAGACCAGGACCUAUUCCCAGGAUCUGACUAUGGGGGACAUGCUUGGAGUGGGGAUGUUGGUGGGACUGGUGAGGCAAGCCCCUGGACCUGGGCUCCAGGUGCCUCUGAUGCCUCUGCACCUCUGAUCACUGGAAUGAGAAUUGCUUCUGUAGAAACAGCUCAGUCUGGACUCGUAAAGAUGGACACUAACAAACUGGACUUCCAAGUGGUGAUGAGACUCUGCACUUUGGUCAAUUCAGGGCACUGACCUUCAGAGUAGAGAAAGGUAAACCAGAGAC